CAGGCGUUGAUGGCCGUAACGGA
rnacentral:siRNA from 1 species